CCUGAACGCUGGCGGCGUGGCUAAGACAUGCAAGUCGUACGGAGGUAGCAAUACCUCAGUGGCGAACGGGUGAGUAAUGUAUCGCUAACGUGCCCCGGACUCUGGGAUAGCCGCCCGAAAGGGCGGGUAAUACCAGAUGACAUACCCUCUCCGCAUGGUGAGGGUCUCAAAGGUCCGCCGGUCUGGGAGCGGGCGAUAUCGUAUCAGCUAGUUGGUGAGGUAACGGCNCACCAAGGCGACGACGCGUAGCCGGACUGAGAGGUUGGCCGGCCACAUUGGGACUGAGACACUGCCCAGACUCCUACGGGGGGCGUGCAGUAACGAAUCUUCCGCAAUGCACGAAAGUAGUGACGGAGCGACG
rnacentral:rRNA from 1 species